rnacentral:piRNA from 1 species
CAUGUAUGAUGACGGAACUUUUU